CCUCCCUUAGCGGCGCGCACGCUUUCACUUACGUCCCGCCGUUAGGGCUGGCGGAAUGACGUCAUUCCGCUCAGAAGAAUCAGGAACAGGAGCACGUGAGCGCGCCGGGGAGCGAGGUGCAUCCUUGGAAACUCGAGGUCGUGCAUACUAACUAAUGAGCGUAAGAAGUGAGUGACCUCAGAGAAAAUAUGGUGAACUUAUGGACUAGAACAAAUGGGCCUCACCAAAAUGGAGUCUCUGAAAGAGAUUGGAAGUGACUAAAGCCGGCGUUAUGAGUGAACAGAUCUUUCUCCAUACUACACUAAAGCGAGGGUGCACCAGUG